UGGGGAAUCUUCCGCAAUGGACGAAAGUCUGACGGAGCAACGCCGCGUGAGUGAUGACGGCCUUCGGGUUGUAAAGCUCUGUUAAUCGGGACGAAUGGUUCUUGUGCAAAUAGUGCGAGGAUUUGACGGUACCGAAAUAGAAAGCCACGGCUAACUACGUGCCAGCAGCCGCGGUAAUACGUAGGUGGCAAGCGUUGUCCGGAAUUAUUGGGCGUAAAGCGCGCGCAGGCGGAUUGGUCAGUCUGUCUUAAAAGUUCGGGGCUUAACCCCGUGAUGGGAUGGAAACUGCCAAUCUAGAGUAUCGGAGAGGAAAGUGGAAUUCCUAGUGUAGCGGUGAAAUGCGUAGAUAUUAGGAAGAACACCAGUGGCGAAGGCGACUUUCUGGACGAAAACUGACGCUGAGGCGCGAAAGCCAGGGGAGCGAACGGG
rnacentral:rRNA from 1 species